CAGAAGUUAUCUGAAUAGUUUCUGCCCUUCACUGUUUGUUUGCUUAAAAGAAAAGAGGUUGCAUCUUGUCACGCUCCAGUGCUGGUGGAACAAAGCUGUGAAGGAGAGGAUGCAAGGAAAGGAACUAAGGGUGGACAGACUGAAACAUGACAAAGAGAAGAUGGGGCCUGUCCUCAUUCAGGCUGAUGGAGACGUCUGCGGAACUGAGAUGCACUCGAGAGCAUGUACUGAGAACACCGGCAGGAGGACGGAGCAUGGAAGAGACGAGGAAGCACAAAAAAGAUGAAAACACCCCUGAACAAAGACGGGAAGUAAAACCCACAACAGAGUGAAAGCACAGAGGAUCACAGAAAACAAACAAACAAGAAAUGAGCUAAAAAAUAAAUGAAAAUCACA